AUGACCGCGCCGCUUCUAACCCGACAGCGGAAGUGCCGGGACCCUAUAAACGGCACAAGGAAGCGCGACACGCACACGCCGCCGCGACGCCACGCUGCCAUCUAGGGCCCGCCGCUCCUUGUACGGGCACAAGAGGUGGGGCCUUCGCCGUGACGUCGCGGCCGAGGCGGGGCACCGAUAGGGGGACCUAGGGCCAAGGGCGGGGCCUAUGCAAAUCGCUGAGCUGAAACAUAAAUAGAGCACUCCGCGGACACGGGGGUAGCGGGGGCGGUGGGGUUGGGUGCCCGAUGGGCUGUGAGAAUGUCAGGCUGCUGUGACGCGGGGGGCGGGGCUCAGGCGGGGUUCCCGGGGGAGGGGGCGGGCUGCCAGGCAUGGCCUAGGGUGCAUGGGUCUCCGCGCCCCCUGCCUGCUCAACUUCCCCCUCCAAUUCCCUGCUUCCCUUUGAUGUCCCGCAAGUGAGGACGCGCCUCGUGGGUCGCUGCGGGGAGGAAAGAGUAGAUGGGAGACCAAGGCGGAGAAGAGCACCAGCUCCGCUGCUCCUCUUGUCUGCAGCACGCUCAACCCCGAGCGAGUCUCAGCUUCCGCUCAGUCUCGGCUUCCAAGCUUGCCAAAGUGUCCGAAAACGCGCAGAGCGCUCGGAACCUGUCCCGCAGCUGUGCGACGCGCGUCUCGAGCUGGCCGCAGCCGCCCCGCCCUCGCGCGCCUCAGCCCCGCGGGCGGGGAUGCCGGCUCCACGGCCUCUCUACCGGGACCCCGCUCCAGGCCCGGGCGUGCUCCGGCUCGAGGUGGAAGGCACACCCGGGUAGUGGAUUUAGCAAACACACCUUUAAACAGAUCCAGGAGGCCAGAAAAACUUACCACCCACACAGACUCUUCAUAAUCAAGUCGUUGGAUGAAGACAGGGCACUGACCCCCUCCUACAGAACCAGACCUCUGGGGUUACAAUUCAUCUGCAUGAUUCACUCCAAUCUGCCCUUCAGUCCAAUCAUCUUUUUGGUUUUCAGAGAUAAGUCAUGA
rnacentral:lncRNA from 1 species